rnacentral:rRNA from 1 species
GUUUUUUCCCCUGAGGGCGAGCGAAGCGGGAAGAGCUCAAACUUGAAAGCGGCGUCAUACGGGCGUCCUCAAUGUAAUAUAUGAGGCGUUUUCUGUGGUGGACCGUGUCCAAGUCCCUUGGAACAGGGUAUCAAAGAGGGUGACAAUCCCGUACUUGACACGACAACCAGUGCUCUGUGAUACGUGUUCUACCGAGUCGAGUUGUUUGGGAAUGCAGCUCAAAAUGGGUGGUGAAUUCCAUCUAAAGCUAAAUAUUGGCGAGAGACCGAUAGCGAACAAGUACCGUGAGGGAAAGAUGAAAAGCACUUUGGAAAGAGAGUUAAACAGUAUGUGAAAUUGUUGAAAGGGAAACGAUGGAGGUCAGUCGUGUCUGUGGGAUUCAGCCGUCUCUGGCGGUGUACUUCCCACAGACGGGUCAACAUCAGUUUUGGCUGGCGGAUAAAGGCAGGAGGAAGGUGGCACCCCCGGGUGUGUUAUAGCCUCUUGUUGCAUACGCUGGCUGAGACUGAGGAAUGCAGCUCGCCUCUAUGGCCGGGGUUCGCCCACGU